GGUGGGUUGGCUCAGUGGAUAGAGCUUAGGGCUUGUAACCAGAAGGUCGGUGUUCGAAUCUCGCAAGAGACG
rnacentral:tRNA from 1 species